CCUACGGGGGGCUGCAGUGGGGAAUAUUGCACAAUGGAGGGAACUCUGAUGCAGCGACGCCGCGUGAGUGAAGAAGGUCUUCGGAUCGUAAAACUCUGUCCUUGGUGAAGAUAAUGACGGUAACCAAGGAGGAAGCCCCGGCUAACUACGUGCCAGCAGCCGCGGUAAUACGUAGGGGGCUAGCGUUGUCCGGAUUUACUGGGCGUAAAGGGUGAGUAGGCGGUUAUGUAUGUCAGAUGUAAAAGGCGCGGGCUUAACUUGCGUUAGCAUUUGAAACUGCAUAACUUGAGUGCAGGAGAGGUAAGCGGAAUUCCUAGUGUAGCGGUGAAAUGCGUAGAUAUUAGGAGGAACACCGGUGGCGAAGGCGGCUUACUGGACUGUAACUGACGCUGAGUCACGAAAGCGUGGGUAGCAAACAGGAUUAGAUACCCCGGUAGUC
rnacentral:rRNA from 1 species